GGCGGCGUGCUUAACACAUGCAAGUCGAGCGGAAAGGCCCUUCGGGGUACUCGAGCGGCGAACGGGUGAGUAACACGUGAGCAACCUGCCCUAGGCUUUGGGAUAACCCCGGGAAACCGGGGCUAAUACCGAAUAGGACCUCCGGUCGCAUGACUGGGGGUGGAAAGUUUUUCGGCCUGGGAUGGGCUCGCGGCCUAUCAGCUUGUUGGUGGGGUGAUGGCCUACCAAGGCGACGACGGGUAGCCGGCCUGAGAGGGCGACCGGCCACACUGGGACUGAGACACGGCCCAGACUCCUACGGGAGGCAGCAGUGGGGAAUAUUGCACAAUGGGCGGAAGCCUGAUGCAGCGACGCCGCGUGAGGGAUGACGGCCUUCGGGUUGUAAACCUCUUUCAGCAGGGACGAAGCGUAAGUGACGGUACCUGCAGAAGAAGCGCCGGCCAACUACGUGCCAGCAGCCGCGGUAAGACGUAGGGCGCGAGCGUUGUCCGGAUUUAUUGGGCGUAAAGAGCUCGUAGGCGGCUUGUCGCGUCGACUGUGAAAACCCGCGGCUCAACCGCGGGCCUGCAGUCGAUACGGGCAGGCUAGAGUUCGGUAGGGGAGACUGGAAUUCCUGGUGUAGCGGUGAAAUGCGCAGAUAUCAGGAGGAACACCGGUGGCGAAGGCGGGUCUCUGGGCCGAUACUGACGCUGAGGAGCGAAAGCGUGGGGAGCGAACAGGAUUAGAUACCCUGGUAGUCCACGCUGUAAACGUUGGGCGCUAGGUGUGGGGGGCCUCUCCGGUUCUCUGUGCCGCAGCUAACGCAUUAAGCGCCCCGCCUGGGGAGUACGGCCGC
rnacentral:rRNA from 1 species